rnacentral:rRNA from 1 species
GAUGAAUGCUGGCGGCGUGCCUAACACAUGCAAGUCGAGCGGCAGCGCGAGUAGUUUACUACUUGGCGGCGAGCGGCGGACGGCUGAGUAACGCGUGGGAACGUGCCCCAAAGUGAGGAAUAACUGCCCGAAAGGGUGGCUAAUGCCGCAUAUGAUCUUCGGAUUAAAGUCUUCGGACGCUUUGGGAGCGGCCCGCGUCGGAUUAGGUUGUUGGUGAGGUAAUGGCUCACCAAGCCGACGAUCCGUAGCUGGUCUGAGAGGAUGAUCAGCCAGACUGGAACUGAGACACGGCCCAGACUCCUACGGGAGGCAGCAGUGAGGAAUCUUCCACAAUGGGCGAAAGCCUGAUGGAGCAACGCCGCGUGCAGGAUGAAUGCCUUCGGGUUGUAAACUGCUUUUAUAAGUGAAGAAUAUGACGGUAACUUAUGAAUAAGCACCGGCUAACUACGUGCCAGCCGCCGCAGUAA